rnacentral:rRNA from 1 species
GAUAGCUAUAGUUGAAUGCACCAGUUACCCAUGGAUCACUGAAGUUAAGCAACGUUAUACGUGAUUAGUAUCCGGAUGGGUGACCAUCUGAACUAUCGCGUUUUGCUAUCU